rnacentral:snRNA from 1 species
GUGCUCGCUUCAGCAGCACAUAUACUAAAACUGGAACGAUACAGAGAAGAUUGGCAUGGCCCCUGUGCAAGGAUGACAUGCAAAUUUGUAAAGCAUCCCAUAUUAAA